rnacentral:rRNA from 1 species
UACGGGGGGGGCAAGCGUUGUUCGGAAUUACUGGGCGUAAAGGGCUCGUAGGCGGCCAACUAAGUCGGAUGUGAAAUCCCCAGGCUUAACCUGGGAACUGCAUCCGAUACUGGAUGGCUUGAAUCCGGGAGAGGGAUGCAGAAUUCCAGGUGUAGCGGUGAAAUGCGUAGAUAUCGUGGAGGAACACCGGUGGCGAAGGCGGAUCUCUGGGCCCUUACCUGACGCUGACGGCGGCGAAAAGCUAGGG